rnacentral:rRNA from 1 species
CCUCCGGUGAAUGCUAGGGGAGCGUGUCGUAAGACACGGGCCCCUUCCUUUCACGACUGUUUAUGUUUAAUGAACGGAAGUUGGAGGCAAUAACAGGUCUGUGAUGCCCUUAGAUGUUCUGGGCUGCACGCGCGCUACACUGACAGAGGCAGCGAGUGUUUUGGCUGUCGCGGAAGCGUUGGCAAAUCUUGUGAAACUCUGUCGUGCUGGGGAUAGACCUUUGCAAUUAUCGGUCUUCAACGAGGAAUUCCUAGUAAGCGCAAGUCAUCAGCUUGCGUUGAUUACGUCCCUGCCCUUUGUACACACCGCCCGUCGUUACUACCGAUUGAAUGGCUUAGUGAGGUGUUCAGAGCGAGGUGUGAGGUGCGAGCCGAAUGCUUUGUGAAGUUCCCCAAACUUGGUCAUUUAGAGGAAGUACAAGUCG